ACGCUGGCGGCAGGCUUAACACAUGCAAGUCGAACGGUAACAGGGAUUAGCUUGCUAAUCUGCUGACGAGUGGCGGACGGGUGAGUAAUGCUUGGGAAUCUGGCUUAUGGAGGGGGAUAACUACGGGAAACUGUAGCUAAUACCGCGUAAAAUCUUCGGAUUAAAGGGUGGGACUUUCGAGCCACCUGCCAUAAGAUGAGCCCAAGUGGGAUUAGGUAGUUGGUUAGGUAAAGGCUGACCAAGCCGACGAUCUCUAGCUGGUCUGAGAGGAUGACCAGCCACACUGGAACUGAGACACGGUCCAGACUCCUACGGGAGGCAGCAGUGGGGAAUAUUGCACAAUGGGGGGAACCCUGAUGCAGCCAUGCCGCGUGAAUGAAGAAGGCCUUCGGGUUGUAAAGUUCUUUCGGUGACGAGGAAGGUUGAUAGGUUAAUAGCCUAUCAAAUUGACGUUAAUCACAGAAGAAGCACCGGCUAACUCCGUGCCAGCAGCCGCGGUAAUACGGGGGGUGCGAGCGUUAAUCGGAAUAACUGGGCGUAAAGGGCACGCAGGCGGUGACUUAAGUGAGAUGUGAAAGCCCCGAGCUUAACUUGGGAAUUGCAUUUCAUACUGGGUCGCUAGAGUACUUUAGGGAGGGGUAGAAUUCCACGUGUAGCGGUGAAAUGCGUAGAGAUGUGGAGGAAUACCGAAGGCGAAGGCAGCCCCUUGGGAAUGUACUGACGCUCAUGUGCGAAAGCGUGGGGAGCAAACAGGAUUAGAUACCCUGGUAGUCCACGCUGUAAACGAUGUCGAUUUGGGGAUUGGGCUUUGAGCUUGGUGCCCGUAGCUAACGUGAUAAAUCGACCGCCUGGGGAGUACGGCCGCAAGGUUAAAACUCAAAUGAAUUGACGGGGGCCCGCACAAGCGG
rnacentral:rRNA from 1 species